ACCAGUAAAAAGGUAAUCAAUAAAAUGUAAGAAUAAUUAUAGCAAAUUCAUACAAAAAUAGAGAGCACUUGAACAAAACACCAACACUCAAACAAAAAAGAAUAGCAUAAGUAUAAAAUUUGACAAGCAAUAAAACUCAAAAGAAAAAUUUAAUAAAGGAACUCGGCAAAAGAGUUGAGCAAAAACUGUUUAACAAAAACAUAGCUUCUAGAAAUAAUUAGAAGUAAAAUCCUGCCCGGUGAAAGCAAUUUUAAACGGCCACAAUCGUGCUAAGGUAGUGUAAUCAGUUGUCCUUUUACUGAGGACUAGUAGAAAGGAAAAACGAGGCUCAACUGUCUCUAUUAAAAAAAUAAAAAUUAGUUUUUAGAGAAAAAAUCUAAAUGAAAUUAAAGG
rnacentral:rRNA from 1 species